rnacentral:piRNA from 1 species
UCCCAAGGCCUGAGCUGUGUAAAACUUUGU